CUUAGUCCGCAUACUACAAUGAGGCUUAGUAGUUUAGGAAAGUUCACUGUCUAGUGAACGACUUAAGCGACAACGUAGCGGGUUUGCCGCUCAAUGGCGUUAAGUUACAUUGCCGAAGUGUCACCUAAAGUUAGGUUCCGCCGUGACCACGUUUUAUAAACUACAUAACUUCUGUUGUGCGAACGAGGACGCAACCUAUUUUUUGCUAAGACUUGUACUAACUACAACCCACACUAAAAUGAUCUCGCAGCGCUAGCGUUGUAAGUAGUAAAACCAAAGACGUAAACUUACUACACAAAAAAGUAACUUAACAAAAAAGUAACUUAACAAAAAAGUAACUUAACAAAAAAGUAACUUAACAAAAAAGUAACUUAACUUGGGCCUUCAGCCCUUAUUGGAAAACUUACUAUACAAAAAAGUACCUUAACUUGGGCCUUUCGCCCUUAUUGGAAAACUCAUUGCAUAUGUCACAACAUAAACCGAGAUUAACAACAUAGGCGUUCGACUUUACGAAGUCGUUGUAGUUUAACAUAGUUAAGCCGUUGGCUUAACGCUUUCCUNGUCUUCAUCCCCUAAAGGGGAACUUAAGUUCCCCUUUAGGGGAUGAAGACAAAAGGUACAAGGGACGACGAAGGGGGGGGCGCUUGGUGGUCUUUUAAUAAUUAGCCAAGUGCUAGUGUCAACGAAGCUUUUGGUAAAUUUGGUCUGGGGGCGAGCAUGCUAUCAGUAAGCAGAUGCUCAGCACCGAGGCUGGUACUACGUUGUAGUUGGUUUUAGUUUAUUGUUAUUUAACGACAGCAAACUAGAAUCGGGAAGGCUAACCUAACAGACUACGUUGGUGUUCCCCUUUAGGGGAUGAACUACACUAAGCUAUGUGCAAAGCAAAUGCUUGCACCGUACGUAAGUUGUAGCUAACUCUGUAUUAUUACGUU
rnacentral:lncRNA from 1 species